AGGAAUAGGUUGAAGGAGGAAGGGGUUAUGAGGAAUAGGGGUAUUUUAGAUAUUUUUAAGGGUUGUGUUUAGUAAAGUGAGGUUGCAUUUAGCAGUUAUGUUAAAAAAUGAUUAUUAAAUUCAUAAAGGAUCAAUCACCAAAUGAUUAAGUGAAAUCAACUUGUGUGAACAUUCGAUUAAAGUCUAUCUUAUUAAAAUCCCAAUUUUUUCGAUUCUUUCUAAAAUCCUAACUUGUUAAAAAUCAAAAUCAAGAAGUUCACUAUUAACAAGGUUAAUCCAUCAUAAGCCAAUGAGUUAAUAAGUACUUACUACAUAAUAACCUGUUAACAACCAUAUAGCUAGUAACUUAGCACUUAAUUAGUGAGUUACUCACUCAGACUUAUUAACUUAGUAAUUCACUAACUUAUUAGUUGUUAAUUGUUACUAAGUACAAAAAUACUAAUUAAUAGAUAAUUGAUAAAGUGAUAACAAAUUAGUGAUAUCAUAUUGACUAUAUAUUGAUAGAUAUGAAAAAACCAACAAAGAAAAGAUCAUUACAUCCAAAGUUGUCGACAAAGAUAAAUUUAUAGCUUAAACCUCACUCAUACAAUAGCACAUCAAUAUAAGUAUAUUGUUAUAAUAUAAUUCAAAUAAAUGACUAUAGUUAAAAACCUAUUUGAGCAAGUAACAGUUGUAUAAAUAAUAGUCCAAGAAGUAUAGUUUCACAAGUCACGGCAUUAGAGCAAAAUAACUAGUAUAACUAUUUACAAAUUAGCAUUUGUGUUCAUUACUACCUUAUAAAGAUUCAAGAAAAAUUUUCAAGUAUAUAUUUAUAUGAUUGGUUUUCUUGUUUUAUGAUAUGUAUUCCCCAAUUGAUCUAUUGAUAAAUGAGACAAUGAGAUAAUUGACACGAGCAAAUAUCAAUUAUAGAAAUGAUAUAAAUUAUGAAAAUAUUGAAGCCCACUAUAAAUAAUUAUGAUUAUUAUUCGAAAAUGGGGUUAUUGACUUAUUGUGCAUGAGAUUUGGGGUUUAAAGGUUUGGAACAUGGAGUUUAGUUGUUUGGGAUAAUAAUUCAAUAAUUAGUAGGAUUAUUUGUUUUCUUAAUGCGAGAUUCAAAACAAAACCGUUAGAAAAUUACAAUCUAUGGCACAUAAGAAAACAACACAAAGCACAUGGAUCAUAAAAAUUAACCGUUGGAUACAAGCCAUAAACCAAACUGAACAGUUAGAUCGUCUCCUAAUAUUUCACCUUCUCCCCAUCUCUCUCCUCCAAACCAUUUAUCCCACCCAAAAACCUAAUGAACUUCCUCUUUUCCUCUCUUUAUGACGUUGCUCCCUGCAUCCAUCAAUCCAUCCUCCUUGCCGGCUACAUCCGCCACAAUCUCACUCACUGAUUUCUCUUUCCUCCCCCUUCCAGCCUCCCUGCCCAAAAUCGACCAACUACAGUCGCAACUAUUUUAGGUGGAACAACCACCCCCACCUUAAAUUUUAUCGUUCACCAAUUCCGGCAAGUUCCACGGCUAAAUCAAUGUCUGGACAUGGCGCUUCCCUGAACAUUGAAGCCUCAAUAUCUGGCAAUGAAAGUUGCAAAUAUUCAAUCUUUCUUGUGUCCAAUGAUUUUAGUUUUGUUGAACUAAACAUAAUUACCAUGAUAAUCUUACAACUACAACAUACAAAAAAAAAAUGUUGAUGCUUCAAAGAGAGGAUUGAGGCAUAGUGCGUGAUCUCUUCUCCGCUCUCUUAUUUAUCAUAUAUAUAUGUAUGGAAUAUCUGGAUGGAAUUUUGAGGAAAAUGAGUGAGUUGGGUCAGUUUCAUUUUCAUCCUAGAUGUAACUUGAUGAAGCUUACUCAUUGAAGCUUUGCAGAUGACCUAAUCUUAUGCUCUAAAGGUAAAUUUGCUUCUGCUUACUUGAUGCUAAGAGCAUUUAUAUUGUUUUCUGACUCGCUUGAGUUGAAAAUAAAUGUACAAAAAUCAGCUUUUUAUUGUUGUGGUAUGGAUUAGCCUGAAGUAAUGAGAAUCCAACUUGUGUCUGGGAUUAAGAGAGACACCCUCUUUUUUAGAUACUUGGGGGCCCAAUUCAUGAUAAGAGGAUUUCAAUUGGCCAGUGUGAAUGCCUUGUGGAUAAAUGACAGCUAAAAUUAGGGUCUGAAGCUCUAAGAACAUCUCAUAUUCUGGUAAAGUUCGAUUGCUGAAUGAUGUGUUGAUGAGUCACUAGUAGAAAAAGGUCAAUUUGCGUCGCCCCAUUUGCGUCGCACAAACACGGAAACGAUGCAAAUAUACUAUUUGCGUCGCAUGCAACAAUGAAUCGAUGCAUAAGACGAACUAUGUGCGUCGUAUCUAAAUAAUGUGCGAUGCAAAUCAUCUAUGUGCGUCGCAUGAAGCCCAUGGUGCGACGCACAUAACAAAGUAAUCUGCGUCGCAUGAAUCCCAUGGUGCGACGCAGAUUACCAACCCAACACAAAGCCCCGUGUUUCAUAUAUAUCCUCAAACCCUAAAAAAAGUUGCAGCGAACAUUACAACCCAGCGCCUCUUUUUCAAAAUCCUCUCUUUCUCUCUCACCUUCACACCCCAUCUCUCUCUCUCACCCUCACCCCCUCCCUCUCUUCAGCGAAAACACCCAUAAACAUUUUCUUGCUACCCAUUUCUCUUUUUUCUACAAGAAAAACACCCACGAAAACACAAAAACCCCAAAAAAAAAAUCACAAGAAAAUGGCGAAACCCAGGUUGUGUUAUGGAGUAAUUUUGGUUCUUCUCACUUUCUUUGGUCAGCGAAGAAGACGAAUAGAACCAGCGAAAACUCAGUUCUUUUCAAUUUUGUAGAUCUAAUUUCGACUCACAUAACAAAGUAAUCUAAUACUUCUCUCUACUCGAAAAAACUUGAACAACGAAAAUUGAAGAACCAGCGAAAACUCAGUUCAUGCAUCUGAAAACCACCAUGGAUGAUAACUUCUCUCUCCUCGAAAACUCUUUCAUUUUGUAGAUCUAAUUUCUGACGAAGAAGACGAAUAGAACCAACCACCAGUGCGGACUGUUGUCGAUGGAUUACUAGCGAGAGAGAGAAAAAAUAUGCGGGAUCUGGGUAGUUUUCUUGCCAGCGGAAUUUUUUUUGUUUCAAGUUUUGUUGCCGGCGUCCUCGAAGACGGUAGCGAACUCAAAAUGAAGAUGAAGCAUUUUGUUUUUUGUAAUUUCUGUAACUAUGUCAUUGAACUUUUUUUCCUUUUGUUGAUUUGCUUAUUUUUAUUUUCUGUGUUAGAUCUAGAAUAUGUGCGAACUUUCCGGCGGUUACUGGUUUUUUAUGGUUGAUUGAUGGUGAACUUUUCUUUUUGAAACACAAAAUUUGUGCGUAUUUUGUAUAAUUUGUACAAGUUUCUCAUUUGCGUAAUAUAAUUCUACUUUGUUUGA